AUCAUCUACACAUCAAAAGGAGACAGGAAGUUCCCCCUGCUUGCAGAUGUUGCCAGAUUAACAUGUGAGAGGCUUGAUAGGAGCCUCUAUCAACCAUGUCACUUCCCCUGCUCCCUGGCUCAGCAAUAGAGGAACAACUAGAUAAAGGAGGAGCCAGACUCUGAGGAGUGGCAGAUGAGUGGAAUCUCCACACUCAACCCCAAUGAUCUGAACAACCUGCAUAUUCAGAUGGGAGAUGAGGAAUGAGGAAAGGGAGACGGUGGACAGGGAGCUAGAUGCUCAGGAGCAAGGUUGUGUCUUAGUGCAGGAGUCCUUUUUUUUCACCUUGGGCCGAUGUGCAAGAAUGGAAGGGAAGCCGAACAUUCUG